CUCUACUUUUACCAGGCCCUGAGGUCUCUCUCUCUCUCUCUCUCUCUGUGUUCCCGGAAGAAAAUCAAGCAAACAGCAUCUAUCUCGAUCGGCUCCGCACGUAAUUAUUACAGGUUGCUUGCUGACAGUGAUACACACACCCACCAACCAAGGCACAAAGCAUGAGCAUGUUAGCUACUGCUCAGUUAUACGCACAGAGAUGGAGCACGUCAGCUGGUGCUUCCGAAAUACAGAGCAUCAGCAGCUCAACUGGUGCUUCCGAGUACCCUUUUUUAUAUACCGGUGUGAAUCAAAGAGAAGAUGUAAGAAUCUCAUUAGACUCAAUUCCCAGGGAUAGGUUCAAAAUCUGUAUAGAUUAUGGAGAGAGAACUCGAGUCUUCCAUUGGAUUCCUGGUGAGCAUCUUCCAGUAGAACUUCCUUGUGCUACUACAUACCACCUCCUUGCUGAGAGGAGUUUCUAUGUCCCUAUGCGUGAUGUCAAGCAAUUUUCAUCAAGGCCUAAAUGGACGCAUGUCUUGGCUUAUCAUCUUUCCAAGAUCGGUGUCCCACAAGGUGCGCAGCCAGCUCUUAUUGUAAGAGUACUUGAUUACAUUGAGGAGGCCGACAACGACAGCUUUGAGUUGCCUAUUCUUGUGCAUAUUGUGGAUGGCACUUAUCACUAUCUGAAGUCGAACCACGACAACGACAUCCUUGAUAGGGUUAUGAGGGAAUCCUCGGAAGCAUACAGGGCCAUGCUUAUUCCUGCAGCUCAAUCAUCCAUUCAGGGCUUGGAGAAUGUGAGGCUUGAUGAUCCUACUUUGGCCCCGUCGUCUGCAUGUAUUAUUUGUAUGGAGGGCCUCCUCCUUGAUCAUCAUGAUGAUCAUCACUCUGAUAAUAUUAAUGUCGUCCCUGCUUCACAAGAUGAAGAUGAUGACCAUGAUCAAGAUCAAGGUCAAGGGGUUGAUCGUCAUCGUCCGCCAAUGACGAUCAAACGCUUGCCCUGCUUACACCAGUUUCAUGAAGAUUGCAUCGUCCCGUGGCUGCAGAUCAAUCACUUGUGUCCCCUGUGCCGAUACCCGCUGGAAGUGCGCGAGUCAUCAAAACCCAAACGAAGGAGAUUAUCAUGAAAUAAUGAAGGGAGACCUGUAGCCAUGAUGCUCAGCUGGAACAAUAUAUGGCAGAAGCUGGCUUGAUUAGUAUGUGCUCUUCGGGAUCAUAAAAUUAACAUGCAUGCAUGUGGGAUCAUUGUACCUGGUGUUCCUCUUCUAGAGGCUUGGCAAGCUGGGUGCAUGUCAUCAAGUCUUUAGAAGAAAGAAGAGUGGAGGUUGGAGUUGAGACUCAAGGUUAUUAGUCUUACACCUCCCAAAUAUUAAGAGUGGAAGAAGAAAACUGAAGAAGGGUAGUGUUGGUGCAUAGUAUUAUUGUUCUAAAGGAUUGCAUAAUUUGGUCGCCAAAGGAAAAAUGGUGCAAGGUCUGUCACUCAGUACUUUAACCGCGUCACGUAAUGGUGGGGUGGGUGGAUCGAUGCCUUCAUGGAGGAAGCAUUUCAAAUUGCUGAGGAAAACCCGGAUAAGCUCUGGUAUUGAAAGGCGUGGUAGCUGCCAGCCACCUGUGCCAUCAAAGCUUGUUCUUUGGAGGUAACCAAAUGAGUGGCCGACGACACUUCUUGAGGAGAAAAUAAAGAAUUCGAUCUUUAAUAUACUUGUUAGCGAUCAAGGAAGUCAAUUCAUUAUCUAUUACAAGGAAGUGGAAUUCUACAAGAAAACGGUUUUCUCCAACUAUUAUAUGAAGGCAACUCACAAAUCCUAGAAGAUGAUCAUCCCAAAGGAAAACGCAAUCCUAGAACACCAACUUCAUCACCUUCAACUCUUCUGAGAAGUAUCUCGCUAUCAUUUCUGAAUACCCAUCCACAAAGCCAACCGAAGGCCAUCACAAGUAAUGUCUGUAAAAACUCUAGCACUAUCAAGCUUCCAUAUAAGUUCUCAUCAAAACACUGCCAGCAUGAUACUUGAUCUCCUUGCUCGGUGCAAAUCUAUUCAAGUCUGCUCCGUCCAAACUUGCAUCAAGCUUCGUCAAGAAUUUUUCAUAGCUAAUAACUAGAGCGUCGCUAUUUUUCAUAGCUAAUAAAACCUUAGGUUAGAUAGUGACUAUGCUGUAAAAAGAGACACCGUCCUAUUUUAUCUAUGUAUAUAAAGGAAGAGGCAGAGAAUGGUGAAA